GACGAACGCUGGCGGCGUGCUUAACACAUGCAAGUCGAACGGUGAAGCGCCUUCCUUUUUGGUGGGUGUGGAUGAGUGGCGAACGGGUGAGUAACACGUGAGUAACCUGCCCCCUUCUUCUGGAUAACCGCAUGAAAGCGUGGCUAAUACGGGAUAUUCUGGGUCUGUCGCAUGAUGGGUCUGGGAAAGAUAUUGUUUCGGUGGGGGAUGGGCUCGCGGCCUAUCAGCUUGUUGGUGGGGUGAUGGCCUACCAAGGGGGUGACGGGUAGCCGGCCUGGGAGGGUGGACGGUCACACUGGGACUGCGGCACGGCCCGGACUCCUACGGGGGGCAGCAGUGGGGAGUAUGGCACAAUGGGGGAAAGCGUGAUACAGGGCCGCCGCGGGAGGGAUGGAGGCCUUCGGGUUGUGAACCUCUUUCGCCAGUGAAGCAGGCCUGCCUCGUUUGUGGGUGGGUUGACGGUAGCUGGAUAAGAAGCGCCGGCUAACUACGUG
rnacentral:rRNA from 1 species